UACGGAGGGUGCAAGCGUUGUCCGGAUUUAUUGGGCUUAAAGGGUGCGUAGGCGGGAGAUUAAGUCAGAGGUGAAAGACUGCAGCUCAACUGUAGCAGUGCCUUUGAUACUGAUUUUCUUGAGUACAGAUGAGGCUGGCGGAAUGGGUGGUGUAGCGGUGAAAUGCAUAGAUACCAUCCAGAACACCGAUUGCGAAGGCAGCCGGCUAAACUGUCACUGACGCUGAGGCACGAAAGCGUGGGGAGCGAACAGG
rnacentral:rRNA from 1 species